rnacentral:rRNA from 1 species
UACGUAGGGGGCUAGCGUUGUCCGGAUUUAUUGGGCGUAAAGAGCGUGUAGGCGGCCAGGUAGGUCUGCUGUGAAAACUCGAGGCUCAACCUCGAGACGUCGGCGGAAACCAUCUGGCUAGAGUCCGGAAGAGGAGAGUGGAAUUCCUGGUGUAGCGGUGAAAUGCGCAGAUAUCAGGAAGAACACCCGUGGCGAAGGCGGCAUCCUGGACCAACACUGACGCUGAUGAGCGAAAGCCAGGGGAGCAAACGGG